AGGAAAGCAGAUUCUCUGCACAUCUCAGCAUUUGCCUUAUUCCAUCUGCUGAUCUGUCUUCUAGGAUUCUGGUGUCCUGUGAGGUGCUCCUUGCAAAGGUCUUCCACAACCAGAGAUGAAGUUGCUGAAGCUCAGAGAAGUGAACACACUCAUCCAAGCAUGUGUGGACACAGUGUGGAGAGCCAGGAUCACUCCCACACCUGCCUGAUCUGAAGUGGGAGAUGAUUUCCUAUCUCACCAGUCAACUUCCUUCAACACGGGCUUGUAAAGACCACUAAGGACUCAGGUUUGACAUGAGGAAGACCUUGGCAGGAGAGAGUAGAGAUGACCUAACACUGGGACAAGCUGGCACAGUUGGCACCCAGGACUCCUUGCUGCUGCCUGCAAGCCUCGCCAAAGCAUCCCUGUCUGGAGGAUGCUCACCUCCUGGGCUCGCCAGGGCUGCAGGUAUAAUUCCGGGGUCUUCAACUGUGCUGGCUCUUCUGCUCUGGGUCUGACCUGCCCGUACCUGUUGGUGUCAAGAACAGAUAUUUAUUGAGUCCCAGCCCUGACACCUCACUCUCUUGUGAGCCUUGGCUGAGCAGAAGGCCUGCCUCCCUCUGAAACACCCCAUGUGUGCGCCUGCAGACUUUGCUGAGGCUGUUUCCCAUCCUUCACGCUUUUUAGCCCUCUCCGCUUUUCAAAGCCAAAUUCAUUAUUAAACUUU